rnacentral:rRNA from 1 species
UACGUAGGGCGCAAGCGUUAUCCGGAAUUAUUGGGCGUAAAGAGCUCGUAGGCGGUUUGUCGCGUCUGCCGUGAAAAGUCCGGGGCUCAACUCCGGAUCUGCGGUGGGUACGGGCAGACUAGAGUGCAGUAGGGGGAGACUGGAAUUCCUGGUGUAGCGGUGAAAUGCGCAGAUAUCAGGAGGAACACCGAUGGCGAAGGCAGGUCUCUGGGCUGUAACUGACGUGAGGAGCGAAAGCAUGGGGGAGCGAACAGG